UACGAAGGGGGCUAGCGUUGCUCGGAAUGACUGGGCGUAAAGGGCGCGUAGGCGGUUUAGACAGUCGGAUGUGAAAUUCCUGGGCUCAACCUGGGGGCUGCGUUUGAUACGUGCGGACUUGAGUGCGGAAGAGGGUCGUGGAAUUCCCAGUGUAGAGGUGAAAUUCGUAGAUAUCGGGAGGAACACCAGUGGCGAAGGCGGUUACCUGGACAGUUACUGACGCUCAGGCACGAAAGCGUGGGGAGCAAAAGGG
rnacentral:rRNA from 1 species